CUAGUUACCAUCAUUAAGUUGGGGACUCUAGCGAGACUGCCAGUGAUAAACUGGAGGAAGGUGGGGAUGACGUCAAAUCAUCAUGCCCUUAUGACCUGGGCUACAAACGUGAUACAAUGGCUGGAACAAAGGGAUGCGAAGCAGUGAUGUGGAGCGAAACCCAUAAAAACAGUCUCAGUUCGGAUUGAAGUCUGCAACUCGACUUCAUGAAGUCGGAAUCGCUAGUAAUCGCGGAUCAGAACGCCGCGGUGAAUACGUUCUCGGGGUUU
rnacentral:rRNA from 1 species